rnacentral:rRNA from 1 species
AGGUGCAAUCAUACCAGCGUUAAUGCACCGUAUCCCAUUAAGAGUGCUUGGGCUAGAGUAGUACUGGGAUGGGUGACCUCCCGGGAAGUCCUAGUGUUGCACCCU